rnacentral:tRNA from 1 species
GGGCGAUUAGCUCAGUUGGUAGAGCAGCUGACUCUUAAUCAGCGGGUCUCAGGUUCGAGUCCUGAAUCGCCCA